rnacentral:misc_RNA from 1 species
AAAAGCGAUACCGAAAGGUACCCGCACCCGUGUCUACAUACUCUUGUUGCUUUGGCAGGCCGUGGUCUUCCACUGUGGGCUCUGCCUGCAUGUGCUUGCCAGAGGACCAAACUCUGAAUUUUAGUGAUGUCUGAGUACUAUAUAAUAGUUA